UUGUCUGAGUUAAGUCCUUUUGGUUGGAAGUAAUCAACUUGAGCUGACGUAAGCAUUAAGGGACAUAGAAGAGUAUAGCAGUAUCUCAUGAAGUCCAAGGGCAGAUGGCCUCAAGGUAGCCCGAGAAGCUGCUAGGAACCUAGACAGUCCACCUUCUCCAGCUUUCUUCUCUGCUUCGUGUCUCCCUCUGCAAUCCACUUUCUUCUCUGUGAGUAGCUGGGCAGAGGAUAAUCCCUCAACAACUAUCACAUCUACAUCUUCUCUCCUAAAGAGAUUAGCCAAAGGUGAGUGGCUGUCCUCAGUCCAAUACCAGAUUCCUGGGAGAGGGAAUUUGGUUGUCCCAGCCUGGGUCAGGUGCACAGCUUGAUCCAAUCAGGUGUGCCCAGGAGAGGGUGCCCUGAGACAGGCACAUCUGGGGACACUCAUCCUCAUGAAUGACCGGACAGUUCUCCAGGAAAGAAGAGAGAAGAGUGGAGGAGUGUACAGUGGAGUUUUCCAGAAGGCAUAUG
rnacentral:lncRNA from 10 species